GAGUUUGAUCGUGGCUCAGAUUGAACGCUGGCGGCAGGCCUAACACAUGCAAGUCGAGCGGUAGAGAGAAGCUUGCUUCUCUUGAGAGCGGCGGACGGGUGAGUAAUGCCUAGGAAUCUGCCUGGUAGUGGGGGAUAACGCUCGGGAACGGACGCUAAUACCGCAUACGUCCUACGGGAGAAAGCAGGGGACCUUCGGGCCUUGCGCUAUCAGAUGAGCCUAGGUCGGAUUAGCUAGUUGGUGAGGUAAUGGCGUCACCAAGGCGACGAUCCGUAACUGGUCUGAGAGGAUGAUCAGUCACACUGGAACUGAGACACGGUCCAGACUCCUACGGGAGGCAGCAGUGGGGAAUAUUGGACAAUGGGCGAAAGCCUGAUCCAGCCAUGCCGCGUGUGUGAAGAAGGUCUUCGGAUUGUAAAGCACUUUAAGUUGGGAGGAAGGGCAGGUAAAUUAAUAACUUUGCUGUUUUGACGUUUACCGACAGAAUAAGCACCGGCUAACUCUGUGCCAGCCGCCGG
rnacentral:rRNA from 1 species